AACGAACGCUGGCGGCAGGCUUAACACAUGCAAGUCGAACGCCCCGCCAGGGGAGUGGCAGACGGGUGAGUAACGCGUGGGAACAUACCCUUUCCUGCGGAAUAGCUCCGGGACACUGGAAUUAAUACCGCAUACGCCCUACGGGGGAAAGAUUUAUCGGGGAAGGAUUGGCCCGCGUUGGAUUAGCUAGUUGGUGGGGUAAAGGCCUACCAAGGCGACGAUCCAUAGCUGGUCUGAGAGGAUGAUCAGCCACAUUGGGACUGAGACACGGCCCAAACUCCUACGGGAGGCGGCAGUGGGGAAUAUUGGACAAUGGGCGCAAGCCUGAUCCAGCCAGGCCGGGUGAGUGAUGAAGGCCUUAGGGUUGUAAAGCUCUUUCACCGAUGAAGAUAAUGAGGGUAGUCGGAGAAGAAGCCCAGGCUAACUUCGU
rnacentral:rRNA from 1 species